GAUGAACGCUAGCUACAGGCUUAACACAUGCAAGUCGAGGGGUAACGAGAGGAAAGCUUGCUUUCCUUGUCGACGACCGGCGCACGGGUGAGUAACGCGUAUCCAACCUGCCCCCAACUAGGGAAUAACCUUGCGAAAGUAAGACUAAUACCCUAUAAUUUCCUCAGAUGCCAUCUGACGAGGAAUAAAGAUUUAUCGGUUGUGGAGUGGGAUGCGUCUGAUUAGAUUGUUGGCGGGGUAACGGCCCACCAAGGCAACGAUCAGUAGGGGUUCUGAGAGGAAGGUCCCCCACAUUGGAACUGAGACACGGUCCAAACUCCUACGGGAGGCAGCAGUGAGGAAUAUUGGUCAAUGGGCGGAAGCCUGAACCAGCCAAGUAGCGUGCAGGAUGACGGCCCUAUGGGUUGUAAACUGCUUUUAUACAGGAAUAAAGUUAGCCACGUGUGGUUAUUUGUAGGUACUGUAUGAAUAAGGACCGGCUAAUUCCGUGCCAGCAGCCGCCGUAA
rnacentral:rRNA from 1 species